ACGAACGCUGGCGGCGUGCUUAACACAUGCAAGUCGAACGGUGAAGCGCCUUCCUUUUUGGUGGGUGUGGAUGAGUGGCGGACGGGUGAGUAACACGUGAGUAACCUGCCCCCUUCUUCUGGAUAACCGCAUGAAAGUGUGGCUAAUACGGGAUAUUCUGGGUCUGUCGCAUGAUGGGUCUGGGAAAGAUAUUGUUUCGGUGGGGGAUGGGCUCGCGGCCUAUCAGCUUGUUGGUGGGGUGAUGGCCUACCAAGGCGGUGACGGGUAGCCGGCCUGAGAGGGUGGACGGUCACACUGGGACUGAGACACGGCCCAGACUCCUACGGGAGGCAGCAGUGGGGAAUAUUGCACAAUGGGCGCAAGCCUGAUGCAGCGACGCCGCGUGAGGGAUGGAGGCCUGCGGGUUGUGAACCUCUUUCGCCAGUGAAGCAGGCCUGCCUCGUUUGUGGGUGGGUUGACGGUAGCUGGAUAAGAAGCGCCGGCUAACUACGUG
rnacentral:rRNA from 1 species